rnacentral:rRNA from 1 species
UCUCCGUUGGUGAACCAGCGGAGGGAUCAUUACCGAGUUUACAACUCCCAAACCCAUGUGAACAUACCUAUUGUUGCUUCGGCGGGAUUGCCCCGGGCGCCUCGUGUGCCCCGGAUCAGGCGCCCGCCUAGGAAACUCAACUCUUGUUUUAUUUUGGAAUCUUCUGAGUAGUUUUUACAAAUAAAUAAAAACUUUCAACAACGGAUCUCUUGGUUCUGGCAUCGAUGAAGAACGCAGCGAAAUGCGAUAAGUAAUGUGAAUUGCAGAAUUCAGUGAAUCAUCGAAUCUUUGAACGCACAUUGCGCCCGCCAGUAUUCUGGCGGGCAUGCCUGUCUGAGCGUCAUUUCAACCCUCAUGCCCCUAGGGCGUGGUGUUGGGGAUCGGCCAAAGCCCGCGAGGGACGGCCGGCCCCUAAAUCUAGUGGCGGACCCGUCGUGGCCUCCUCUGCGAAGUAGUGAUAUUCCGCAUCGGAGAGACGAGCCCCUGCCGUUAAACCCCCAACUUUCCAAGGUUGACCUCAGAUCAGGUAGGAAUACCCGCUGAACUUAA